CAGAUUCCACAUCGAGACAUCGGGGGAAUUCAACAAUCGAAAAUGCGGCGUUCGGAGAUUCUACCCUGAGAUCGUCGACAAAGCGAGCAACUGGGCUACAUCCUGCGCAAUAAGCAUCAAGAUGCGGUAGUCAGAUAGAUCUUUAUAUCGGCAAUGGGCGAAUGACUCGGACGCAAAACUCGUGGUUUCCAUCCGCUCGAAAUACUUCGGAAUUAUGAUAGCGAGGACCCAUACAGUGUCAUGGGAUGGCAGUGUUGUAAUUUGAUUAUAGAUUCCAUCGACGUCGAGUGUUAUUAACAUUGUUACGCAAGCAGAACAGUCACAUUACUGGCGAUUUGCUGAUACCGAGUGGAAUUAUUAAAUAGUUGGC